GAUGAACGCUGGCGGCGUGCUUAACACAUGCAAGUCGAACGGAAAGGCCCAAGCUUGCUUGGGUACUCGAGUGGCGAACGGGUGAGUAACACGUGGGUGAUCUGCCCUGCACUUCGGGAUAAGCCUGGGAGACUGGGUCUAAUACCGGAUAGGACCACAUUUUGGAUGGUGUGGUGGAAAGUUUUUCGGUGUGGGAUGAGCUCGCGGCCUAUCAGCUUGUUGGUGGGGUAAUGGCCUACCAAGGCGUCGACGGGUAGCCGGCCUGAGAGGGUGUACGGCCACAUUGGGACUGAGAUACGGCCCAGACUCCUACGGGAGGCAGCAGUGGGGAAUAUUGCACAAUGGGCGCAAGCCUGAUGCAGCGACGCCGCGUGGGGGAUGACGGCCUUCGGGUUGUAAACUCCUUUCGCUAGGGACGAAGCGUUAUGUGACGGUACCUGGAGAAGAAGCACCGGCUAACUACGUG
rnacentral:rRNA from 1 species